CUGCGGCAGCGACGCUUAUGCGUUGUUGGGUAGGGGAGCGUUCUGUAAGCCUGCGAAGGUGGCCUGUGAGGGUUGCUGGAGGUAUCAGAAGUGCGAAUGCUGACAUAAGUAACGAUAAAGCGGGUGAAAAGCCCGCUCGCCGGAAGACCAAGGGUUCCUGUCCAACGUUAAUCGGGGCAGGGUGAGUCGACCCCUAAGGCGAGGCCGAAAGGCGUAGUCGAUGGGAAACGGGUUAAUAUUCCCGUACUUGGUGUUACUGCGAAGGGGGGACGGAGAAGGCUAUGUUGGCCGGGCGACGGUUGUCCCGGUUUAAGCGUGUAGGUGUGUGUUCCAGGUAAAUCCGGUUCACUUUAACACUGAGGCGUGACGACGAGGCACUACGGUGCUGAAGCAACAAAUGCCCUGCUUCCAGGAAAAGCCUCUAAGCAUCAGGUAACAUCAAAUCGUACCCCAAACCGACACAGGUGGUCAGGUAGAGAAUACCAAGGCGCUUGAGAGAACUCGGGUGAAGGAACUAGGCAAAAUGGUGCCGUAACUUCGGGAGAAGGCACGCUGACACGUAGGUGAAGUGAUUUACUCAUGGAGCUGAAGUCAGUCGAAGAUACCAGCUGGCUGCAACUGUUUAUUAAAAACACAGCACUGUGCAAACACGAAAGUGGACGUAUACGGUGUGACGCCUGCCCGGUGCCGGAAGGUUAAUUGAUGGGGUCAGCGCAAGCGAAGCUCCUGAUCGAAGCCCCGGUAAACGGCGGCCGUAACUAUAACGGUCCUAAGGUAGCGAAAUUCCUUGUCGGGUAAGUUCCGACCUGCACGAAUGGCGUAAUGAUGGCCAGGCUGUCUCCACCCGAGACUCAGUGAAAUUGAACUCGCUGUGAAGAUGCAGUGUACCCGCGGCAAGACGGAAAGACCCCGUGAACCUUUACUAUAGCUUGACACUGAACAUUGAGCCUUGAUGUGUAGGAUAGGUGGGAGGCUUUGAAGUGUGGACGCCAGUCUGCAUGGAGCCGACCUUGAAAUACCACCCUUUAAUGUUUGAUGUUCUAACGUGGACCCGUUACCCGGGUUGCGGACAGUGUCUGGUGGGUAGUUUGACUGGGGCGGUCUCCUCCUAAAGAGUAACGGAGGAGCACGAAGGUUGGCUAAUCCUGGUCGGACAUCAGGAGGUUAGUGCAAUGGCAUAAGCCAGCUUGACUGCGAGCGUGACGGCGCGAGCAGGUGCGAAAGCAGGUCAUAGUGAUCCGGUGGUUCUGAAUGGAAGGGCCAUCGCUCAACGGAUAAAAGGUACUCCGGGGAUAACAGGCUGAUACCGCCCAAGAGUUCAUAUCGACGGCGGUGUUUGGCACCUCGAUGUCGGCUCAUCACAUCCUGGGGCUGAAGUAGGUCCCAAGGGUAUGGCUGUUCGCCAUUUAAAGUGGUACGCGAGCUGGGUUUAGAACGUCGUGAGACAGUUCGGUCCCUAUCUGCCGUGGGCGCUGGAGAACUGAGGGGGGCUGCUCCUAGUACGAGAGGACCGGAGUGGACGCAUCACUGGUGUUCGGGUUGUCAUGCCAAUGGCACUGCCCGGUAGCUAAAUGCGGAAGAGAUAAGUGCUGAAAGCAUCUAAGCACGAAACUUGCCCCGA
rnacentral:rRNA from 1 species